AGUGAACGCUGGCGGUAGGCCUAACACAUGCAAGUCGAACGGCAGCACAGUAAGAGCUUGCUCUUACGGGUGGCGAGUGGCGGACGGGUGAGGAAUACAUCGGAAUCUACUUUUUCGUGGGGGAUAACGUAGGGAAACUUACGCUAAUACCGCAUACGACCUACGGGUGAAAGCAGGGGAUCUUCGGACCUUGCGCGAUUGAAUGAGCCGAUGUCGGAUUAGCUAGUUGGCGGGGUAAAGGCCCACCAAGGCGACGAUCCGUAGCUGGUCUGAGAGGGUGAUCCGCCACACUGGAACUGGGAAACGGUCCAGACUCCUACGGGAGGCAGCAGUGGGGAAUAUUGGACAAUGGGCGCAAGCCUGAUCCAGCCAUACCGCGUGGGUGAAGAAGGCCUUCGGGUUGUAAAGCCCUUUUGUUGGGAAAGAAAAGCAGCAGGUUAAUACCCCGCUGUUCUGACGGUACCCAAAGAAUAAGCACCGGCUAACUUCGUG
rnacentral:rRNA from 1 species